GUCCUUGUGGCCUAAUGGAUAAGGCGUCGCCCUCCGGAGGCGAAGACUGGGGGUUCGAGUCCCCUCAAGGAUG
rnacentral:tRNA from 1 species